AGCAAAAAAUUUCUGUUACUCCUAAAGCUCAAACUCCCAAGGAUUGAAAUGUUGUUUGUUGGACAUCUACCCUAUUCAGCUGAAUAGGAGGAUGUGGAGGAUUUCUUCAAAGAUGUUGAAGAAGUUCAGGAAGUGCACUUUUUUACACACGAGGAUAGUUCAUUUAAGGUUUAUGGCCAUGUUGACUUUGUCAUUGCUGAAGUUGCAUAGAAGCAAAGGGAUUUUCUAAUACAACAUCAAGAUGCAAAGCUAGAGGAGUUACUCAUUUCUGAUGAAGUUCACAUAGGACGAGGACUAAAUCAAGAAUGUGGGCUCCAACCAUCAUCUGAUACUCGCUGGGGAUCUCACUAUAAGACAUUAAAGAAAUUUAUUGAAAUAUUUUCAUCAAUUCUUAUGUGCUUGGAUUCUCUACACACGAGUGCCCAAACUAUCUUGAUAUGCUUAAUGCUGAAACUCUUGAAAAUACGAUUUAGGGUUUUGAUUUUGCUUUUAUUCUGCACUUGAUGUUGAAAGAUCUAAUGAUUAAAAAUUAUUUAAAUUUCUUAUUAAAAAA